rnacentral:rRNA from 1 species
CCUACGGGAGGCAGCAGUGGGGAAUAUUGGACAAUGGGGGCAAGCCUGACGCAGCAACGCCGCGUGAGGGAAGAAGUCUCUCGGGUUGUAAACUUCUUUUAUCAGGGACGAAACAAGUGACGGUACCGGAUGAAUAAGCCACUGCUAACUACGUGCCAGCAGCCGCGGUAAUACGUAGGGGGCAAGCGUUAUCCGGAUUUACUGGGUGUAAAGGGAGUGUAGGCGGGAAAGCAAGUCAGAUGUGAAAACCAUGAGCUCAACCGGUGGACUGCAUUUGAAACUGGUUUUCUUGAGUACGGGAGAGGUAGACGGAAUUCCUAGUGUAGCGGUGAAAUGCGUAGAUAUUAGGAGGAACACCAGUGGCGAAGGCGGUCUGCUGGACAGCAACUGACGCUGAGGCGCGAAAGCGUGGGGAGCAAACAGGAUUAGAUACCCUGGUAGUC